rnacentral:rRNA from 1 species
ACGUAGGAGGCGAGCGUUAUCCGGAUUUACUGGGCGUAAAGCGCGUGCAGGCGGUGCGAUAAGUCGUGCGUGAAAGCUCCCAGGCUUAACCGGGAGAGGACGUGCGAGACUGUCGGACUAGAGGCAGGUAGAGGUGUGUGGAAUUCCGGGUGUAGUGGUGAAAUGCGUAGAGAUCCGGAGGAACCCCAGUGGCGAAGGCGACCUGCUCGGCCUUGCCUGACGCUCAGCCGCGAAAGCAUGGGGAGCGAACGG